UGUAUUUCGGUGAUUCGUGCCAAGAUGUGCUGAGCACCUUGGGAUCUCCUCACAAAGUUUUCUACAAGUCAGAAGAUAAGAUGAAAAUCCAUUCGCCUUCUCCUCAUAAGCAAGUACCUUCAAAGUGCAAUGACUACUUUUUCAACUACUUCACGCUUGGAGUGGAUAUCCUUUUUGAUGCAAACACCCACAAAGUGAAGAAAUUUGUUCUGCAUACGAAUUACCCGGGUCAUUAUAACUUCAACAUUUAUCACCGCUGUGAAUUCAAGAUCCCACUAGCAAUUAAACGAGGUAAGAAGUAAUACAGCCUGGAAAAGCUUGAAUGCUGAUAGGAAUGUGUGAUGACUUUGCAGGCAUGCUUAGUAGUGAGACAAAGUCCAGAGUUGUGCAGUAACAGAUAAGUGGACUGACAUCUUCGGGUUCAAGUUAAUCCC